rnacentral:rRNA from 1 species
CCCUGUUAUUUUAUAAUUAAAUAAUAACCUAAGAAGUAAGAAUCAAAAAAUUUUGACGGUUUUAAUAUUUAUAAAGGAGUUUGUUUUUUUAUGGAUAAUCCGCAAUUAACCUUACUUAAAUUAUAUUUGUAUAUCACCGUAAAGAUUUUAUUUUAGUUUCUAAAUGAAUAAUUUCAGGAUAUCAGGUCAUAACGCAGUUUUUUUAAGAUAAAAUGAACUACAGUAAUAAAAUAUUAACGGACUAUUUUUUGAAAAAGAAAUAUAAAGAUGGAUUUAUUAGUAAAUUUAUAAUAAGUUGUUAUAUUGAAAUUAAUUAUUAAAAUGUACAUAUCGCCCG